UCUUCAUAUUCUGCACAUUAUGGCGAGUUGUAUGGCAGCACAGACAGGGUUCGUGAGUUAGCACAGAUACUAUCAUUCUUUGAUGAAGGUAGAGCACCAUUUGACAGAUGGAUGAUGAUGCCUGACAUGGGUCAUCUUAUAGCAUCAUGCUAUAAGGUUGUGCUUUUCCACUUAUCAUCUACUCAGUGCCUUACCUUCCUACCACUUCGGUCAGCACCAGUUUCUUUGCCAAGGCGUCGACAAAUUGCUAUUGGUUUUAUGAAUGAUUGUCAUUGUGUGGAGGUGUUCUUAAGGCCGGGGCAUCCUGUACCUCCCAUUGCGUCUGAUUGGAUCAGAUAUCAUACGCCAGCUGCACAAGGAUGGGACACUGUGUAUACUAGUUGUAUUUUACGCUUCAAAUCUCUUGUUAGCUGUGAUCAAAUCUGACUCGGUCAGGUGCAAGUAACGACUCCAAACUUUCUCAAAAUAUGCUUAGAAUGGUCAGGUUUGAUCACGUCUAUGCACAAAUGCGCCCUGAAAGGAGAUGCCAUGAAGUGGAUGUUGCUCUCAAAUCCCACCAUAAGGAUCCAAAGUACCUACACAAAUAAUGGAAACAAAUAUUUCCAUUGAUAAAUACUUAGUGGUAAAGUGUUAAACCUUAUAGUAUGGACAGGGCAUCUUAGAUGUCGCCUGUUACGAAAGCAUCCAGCACCUCUUGUAUCCUACAAAUCAUUCAUAGUGGCAUCAUUUGACAAUUGUGGUAUCCAACGACAAACAAGUGGUUGGCCUGAGAUAGAUCAUGAUACGACCAUGUCUCAAACAGCAGGAAACUUACAUACAUCUGCCUCAAAAAUCGUCAAGUAUCCUGUUAUCAGUCUAA